rnacentral:rRNA from 1 species
UACAGAGGUCCCAAGCGUUUGUUCGGAUUCACUGGGCGUAAAGGGUGCGUAGGUGGUUAGGUAAGUCCGAUGUGAAAUCUCCAGGCUCAACCUGGAAAUGGCAUUGGAUACUAUUUAGCUGGAGGAGUGGAGGGGGGGACUGGAAUUCUCGGUGUAGCAGUGAAAAUGCGUAGAUAUCGAGAGGAACACCAGUGGCGAAGGCGAGUCCCUGGACACUUCCUGACACUGAGGCACGAAAGCUAGGGGGAGCAAACAGG